UAGAUCAAAGAUGACAACUGGUGGCAUCUGAGUCUUGGUUGAUGAAUACUGCAGGUCUGGGAUGCUGAGCUCCAA